GUUUUAAAUAAUACGUAACUUGAUAAACAUUUAUUUCAUUCACAUGUAAAUGCAAUACAAUAUUACAAUAAUUAAUAAAUCGUCAUGGUUGUUCACUUGUGUGUUCCUAAUCCUUUACAGGCCAUUAGUCUUAAACAAACUAAAAAUAUAUACACAUCGAACACCUACCUUAUUGCUUUUCUCUGGCAUAUCAUUAAUUUAAACUUUUAUUUCUCAUUUUUUUAUCGAU